UUCCAGCAAACUCACUGUUCAUGGCCUUGGAACAUUCGCAGUUUCCGCUAGAAGUUUUUUCUUUGGUGUUGGGUAAACCUUCCUUGGAUGUUCCAAGGAA
rnacentral:snoRNA from 1 species